rnacentral:rRNA from 1 species
GACGAACGCUGGCGGCGUGCUUAACACAUGCAAGUCGAACGGAAAGGCCCUGCUUUUGUGGGGUGCUCGAGUGGCGAACGGGUGAGUAACACGUGAGUAACCUGCCCUUGACUUUGGGAUAACUUCAGGAAACUGGGGCUAAUACCGGAUAGGAGCUCCUGCUGCAUGGUGGGGGUUGGAAAGUUUCGGCGGUUGGGGAUGGACUCGCGGCUUAUCAGCUUGUUGGUGGGGUAGUGGCUUACCAAGGCUUUGACGGGUAGCCGGCCUGAGAGGGUGACCGGCCACAUUGGGAUUGAGAUACGGCCCAGACUCCUACGGGACGCAGCAGUGGGGAAUAUUGCACAAUGGGCGGAAGCCUGAUGCAGCAACGCCGCGUGCGGGAUGACGGCCUUCGGGUUGUAAACCGCUUUCGCCUGUGACGAAGCGUGAGUGACGGUAAUGGGUAAAGAAGCACCGGCUAACUACGUG